AACGAACGCUGGCGGCAGGCCUCAAACAUGCAAGUCUAGGGGUGUAGCAAUACAUCACCGGCGGACGGGUGCGUAACACGUGGGAAUAUACCUUUUGGUUCGGAACAACGCAGGGAAACUUGCGCUAAUACCGAAUGUGCCCUUACGGGGAAAGAUUUAUCGCCUUUAGAGCGGCCCGCGUCUGAUUAGCUAGUUGGUGAGGUAAAGGCUCACCAAGGCUACGAUCAGUAGCUGGUCUGAGAGGAUGACCAGCACAUUGGGACUGAGACACGG
rnacentral:rRNA from 1 species